rnacentral:snRNA from 1 species
UGUAGGAUAAGUGGGAGCU